rnacentral:rRNA from 1 species
UUUGAUUAUGGCUCAGGACGAACGCUGGCGGCGUGCUUAACACAUGCAAGUCGAACGGUGAAGCACCCUUCCUUUUGGUGGGUGUGGAUGAGUGGCGAACGGGUGAGUAACACGUGAGUAACCUGCCCCCCUUCUUCUGGAUAACCGCAUGAAAGUGUGGCUAAUACGGGAUAUUCUGUGCCUGCUGCAUGGUGGGUGUGGGAAAGAUGCGCCUUUGGGUGUUUUUGGUGGGGGAUGGGCUCGCGGCCUAUCAGCUUGUUGGUGGGGUGAUGGCCUACCAAGGCGGUGACGGGUAGCCGGCCUGAGAGGGUGGACGGUCACACUGGGACUGAGACACGGCCCAGACUCCUACGGGAGGCAGCAGUGGGGAAUAUUGCACAAUGGGCGCAAGCCUGAUGCAGCGACGCCGCGUGAGGGAUGGAGGCCUUCGGGUUGUAAACCUCUUUCGCCAGUGAAGCAGGCCUGUCCCUUGUGGUUGGGUUGACGGUAGCUGGAUAAGAAGCGCCGGCUAACUACGUGCCAGCAGCCGCGGUAAUACGUAGGGCGCGAGCGUUGUCCGGAAUUAUUGGGCGUAAAGAGCUCGUAGGCGGCUGGUCGCGUCUGUCGUGAAAUCCUCUGGCUUAACUGGGGGCUUGCGGUGGGUACGGGCCGGCUUGAGUGCGGUAGGGGAGACUGGAACUCCUGGUGUAGCGGUGGAAUGCGCAGAUAUCAGGAAGAACACCGGUGGCGAAGGCGGGUCUCUGGGCCGUUACUGACGCUGAGGAGCGAAAGCGUGGGGAGCGAACAGGAUUAGAUACCCUGGUAGUCCACGCCGUAAACGUUGGGCACUAGGUGUGGGGGGCCUUUUCCGGGUCUUCCGCGCCGUAGCUAACGCAUUAAGUGCCCCGCCUGGGGAGUACGGCCGCAAGGCUAAAACUCAAAGGAAUUGACGGGGGCCCGCACAAGCGGCGGAGCAUGCGGAUUAAUUCGAUGCAACGCGAAGAACCUUACCAAGGCUUGACAUGUGCCGGUCGGCUCCGGAGACGGGGUUUCCUCCUUGUGGGGCCGGUUCACAGGUGGUGCAUGGUUGUCGUCAGCUCGUGUCGUGAGAUGUUGGGUUAAGUCCCGCAACGAGCGCAACCCUUGUCCCGUGUUGCCAGCACGUUGUGGUGGGGACUCGCGGGAGACUGCCGGGGUCAACUCGGAGGAAGGUGGGGAUGACGUCAAAUCAUCAUGCCCCUUAUGUCUUGGGCUUCACGCAUGCUACAAUGGCCGGUACAGAGGGCUGCGAUACCGUGAGGUGGAGCGAAUCCCUUAAAGCCGGUCUCAGUUCGGAUCGGUGUCUGCAACUCGACACCGUGAAGUUGGAGUCGCUAGUAAUCGCAGAUCAGCAACGCUGCGGUGAAUACGUUCUCGGGCCUUGUACACACCGCCCGUC